rnacentral:rRNA from 1 species
GACGAACGCUGGCGGCGUGCCUAAUACAUGCAAGUAGAACGCACAGGAUGCACCGUAGUUUACUACACCGUAUUCUGUGAGUUGCGAACGGGUGAGUAACGCGUAGGUAACCUGCCUGGUAGCGGGGGAUAACUAUUGGAAACGAUAGCUAAUACCGCAUAAGAACAUUUACUGCAUGGUAGAUGUUUAAAAGGUGCAAAUGCAUCACUACCAGAUGGACCUGCGUUGUAUUAGCUAGUAGGUGAGGUAACGGCUCACCUAGGCGACGAUACAUAGCCGACCUGAGAGGGUGAUCGGCCACACUGGGACUGAGACACGGCCCAGACUCCUACGGGAGGCAGCAGUAGGGAAUCUUCGGCAAUGGGGGGAACCCUGACCGAGCAACGCCGCGUGAGUGAAGAAGGUUUUCGGAUCGUAAAGCUCUGUUGUUAAGGAAGAACGAGUGUGAGAAUGGAAAGUUCAUACUGUGACGGACUAACCAGAAAGGACGCA